UGAUAGGGUUCAUUUUAAAAGCAUUAGAAUCUGGUUCAAAAACAAUUUCUUCUUCAGCGCGAAAUAAAUAUAAAUAAAAUGGUUUUGGCGCGGUCAAAACCCUAGAAAACGGAAUCGAAAAAAACUCAACACUCGGAUACAGAGACAGAGAGGACGGAAUCUGCGAAAAAGUCACACUGACUUCACAUCCUAUCCCCCUGAAUCAUUCGCUUUCAAGAUACUGGUUUGUUGAUCAUAAUGGCGGGGCAAAGGAAUAAUUACAGAAAGCGGUCUCAUUCGCAGUCAGAUUAUGAUAUUGGGGCAAAUAAGAGGAGAAAUUCUGGUGACGAUAGAGAACGUUAUGUUAUUGAUUCACAGGAUACAGUAUAUCGUUAUUUGUGCCCGGCUAUGAAGAUUGGAAGCAUAAUAGGAAGGGGAGGGGAGAUUGUUAAGCAAUUAAGGAUAGACACCAAGUCAAAGAUUAGGGUUGGUGAAACAGUGCCGGGUUGUGAAGAACGUGUUGUUACCAUGUAUAGUCCGAGUGAUGAGACUAAUGAAUAUGAAGAUAGUGGUAAUUAUGUUUCUCCUGCUCAGGAUGCUCUGUUCAGGGUACAUGAUAAAGUUAUAACAGAGGAUUUGCAAGUUGACGAGGACUCUGAAGAAAGUCAACAAGUCACUGCUAAGCUUCUUGUACCUUCUGAUCAGAUAGGAUGUAUUAUUGGGAAAGGUGGGCAGAUAGUUCAGAACAUACGUAGUGAGACUGGUGCAGUGAUCCGCAUUCUUAAGGAUGAGCAUUUGCCUCCUUGUGCUUUAAGCUCAGAUGAGCUUGUACAGAUUUCUGGUGAAGCUGCAGUUGUCAAAAAGGCUUUAUAUCAAAUAGCAUCUCGCCUUCACGAUAAUCCAUCACGGUCUCAGCACUUACUUGUUUCUGCUGUUCCAAAUGUGUACCCUGCUGUUGGUUCACUGGUUGGUCCAUCUGCAGCUGCCCCAAUUGUUGGAAUUGCUCCUCUGAUGGGUCCUUAUGGCAGUUUCAAAGGUGACACUGGAGACUGGUCCCGCUCGUUGUAUUCAGCUCCAAGAGAUGAACUUGCUUCAAAAGAAUUUUCUCUUCGUAUGGUUUGUCCAACUGCAAAUAUUGGUGCUGUAAUUGGGAAAGGUGGUACCAUAAUCAAUCAGAUCAGACAGGAGUCUGGAGCAACAAUCAAAGUUGAUAGUUCAGCUUCUGAAGGAGAUGAUUGCUUGAUAACUAUUUCAGCUAAGGAGAUAUGUGAUGACCAGUAUUCUCCAACAAUAGAAGCAGCCUUACGUUUGCAACCUAGAUGUAGUGAGAAAAUGGAAAGAGAUUCAGGUCUUUUCUCAUUUACUACCCGUCUACUUGUUCCCUCCUCUCAUAUUGGUUGCCUUCUUGGUAAAGGAGGACUUAUUAUAGAUGAGAUGAGGAAACUUACCAAAGCUAUUAUUCGGAUACCUAGAAAGGACAAGCUUCCUAAAACUGCCUUGGAUGAUGAUGAGAUGGUGCAGAUUUCAGGAGACCUGGACAUUGCCAAGGAUGCUCUCAUACAAAUAAGUCGACGGUUAAGAGCAAAUGCUUUUGAUAGGGAAGGUUUAAUGUCUGCAAUUCUACCAGUUUUUCCAUACCUUCCUGUCUCAGCAGAAGGUUUGGAGGGUCGACAUUAUGACAGUAGAGAUGAUAAAAGACAUGGACGUGGAAAUACUUAUGCUGGUGGUUAUGGCGCAAGUGAUUAUGCUGUUGGUGACAGUUAUGGUAGCUAUAGAAGCACACAGAUUAGUGCUAGUGGAGGUCCUUUUGGAGCCUAUGGAAGCUAUUCUUCAGGACGCAUUGGUACUUCUGGGUUAUCUGGCCAGGCCCCUGUUUCUCGACGCAAAAGUUAUUACUAGAAUUUGAUGAUGGUUGCUGAAGGAUUCACUUUGGCCUCUUGAAUCCUCUUUAAGGCAGACAGUAAGAUGUGUCUUGCUAUCAUCUGUAGGGAUGGAUUUCAUAUUUGUUUGAAAUGUGACAAACCUGAUUAAAGCCGGGAGGAACAUUUAUUUAAAGUAUGCAUUAUAUAUCAAGAAAGUUAUUGAAAUUGAGUUUGAGCUUGGAUUUGUAAGCCGUGCAUUGAAAAUAUAAAUAUAGUUGCCUUCUUGUAUGUCUUUUCUAAAAUUUUAAUUCUGUGCACCCCCCCCAUUAUGUACUUGGAUGUUCAAAUGUCCCCUUGCCUAUAUUGUACAGUUGGUCCUACUAGUUAUUUGCAUGCUUUAAAGAAGUUGCUGUAUCUGGCAAUUUUAUUGGUUUGAUUGUAUUUUGUAGCUCAAAACCUGAUUUUUCUGUAGUGAUGAGUUUCGUGAACGAAGGCAGAACUAAGGAAGAGAAUUUCUCGAUGGGUCAUCUCAUGGACUUGUGCUGUGCUGUGGUGCCGUGUCUUGUCCUGUCCAGGUAAUUUUGGAGGUGGAGGUGCACAUGAAAUAUGAACUCUUUCUUGUACACUGAAGGUGAGUUUUAACUGCUAUAUUUAGUGGACUUUUUAACCUCAUACAUGUCAAAUAUAUAUAUAUAUUUUUCAUAAAUGUCUUUAUCCCAACUGUGAUAAUUCGGCACAAGGAAAUUAUUGUCCAGUGGAACUUGAAGGGUAGGUUACAUAUCACUUUUGAUGGAUAUUUGUAAGCUCAGACACCAUUGGAGGCUUUUCUGGAUUGUUGGUAAAAGCUUAACUUAGGGCUUCAAGUGGUCUAGGUCAUGCAUAAAUCUGUCAUCCUUUUACCUGGCUAAUCUCAGAUGCCAGCAAGUUAACUAUGUGGAAGACAAGCGAGUCCUGUCAAUUGUUUUAGUCAUCAUGGGCCCUUUGUAUGUUUAUUUGUAAGCGGUGUAUGCAAGCGCAUGUAACACAAUUAGAUAAUUUAAUUGCUUACUGAAGAAAUAUUUUUGUCGGUAAUUACACUGCUAAUGCCCAACGGAUAUUUUUUGUUCAUCUUUUAAUCAGAAAUUACGGAUAAAAUAUUUUCUGUC